GACGAACGCUGGCGGCGUGCCUAAUACAUGCAAGUCGAACGCAGUGGGGACGGGUGAGUAACACGUGGGUAACCUCCCAUCAGAGGGGAUAACACUUGGAAACAGGUGCUAAACCGAUAUUGAGGGAUGGACCCGCGGUGCAUUAGCUAGUUGGGGAGGGAACGGCUCACCAAGGCCACGAUGCAUAGCCGGCCUGGAAGGGGGAUCGGCCACACUGGGAAUGGGAAACGGCCCAAGCUCCAACGGAGGGCGGCAGUGGGGAAUCUUCGGCAAGGGAGGAAAUUUGGACCGGGCAACGCCGGGGGAGUGAAAAAGGUUUUCGGAUGGAAAAACUCUGUUGUUAGAGAAGCGGUAUCUAACCAGAAAGCCACGGCUAACUACGUGCCAGCAGCCGCGGUAAUUC
rnacentral:rRNA from 1 species